ensembl:snRNA U6 U6 spliceosomal RNA
UUUUACUUCAUAAAAACAGCUUUUAAUAGGAACGAUACAGAGGAGAUUAGCACAGCCCCUGCGCAAGGAUGACAUGCAAAUUCCUGAAGCAUUCCAUACUAUU